rnacentral:rRNA from 1 species
CGGGGGUUUCUAUAGGUUUUUGUAACCAGCUCAGGACGAACGCUGGCGGCGUGCUUAACACAUGCAAGUCGAACGAUGAACCACUUCGGUGGGGAUUAGUGGCGAACGGGUGAGUAACACGUGGGCAAUCUGCCCUGCACUCUGGGACAAGCCCUGGAAACGGGGUCUAAUACCGGAUACUGACCGCCUUGGGCAUCCAAGGCGUUCGAAAGCUCCGGCGGUGCAGGAUGAGCCCGCGGCCUAUCAGCUUGUUGGUGAGGUAACGGCUCACCAAGGCGACGACGGGUAGCCGGCCUGAGAGGGCGACCGGCCACACUGGGACUGAGACACGGCCCAGACUCCUACGGGAGGCAGCAGUGGGGAAUAUUGCACAAUGGGCGAAAGCCUGAUGCAGCGACGCCGCGUGAGGGAUGACGGCCUUCGGGUUGUAAACCUCUUUCAGCAGGGAAGAAGCGAAAGUGACGGUACCUGCAGAAGAAGCGCCGGCUAACUACGUGCCAGCAGCCGCGGUAAUACGUAGGGCGCAAGCGUUGUCCGGAAUUAUUGGGCGUAAAGAGCUCGUAGGCGGCUUGUCACGUCGGUUGUGAAAGCCCGGGGCUUAACCCCGGGUCUGCAGUCGAUACGGGCAGGCUAGAGUUCGGUAGGGGAGAUCGGAAUUCCUGGUGUAGCGGUGAAAUGCGCAGAUAUCAGGAGGAACACCGGUGGCGAAGGCGGAUCUCUGGGCCGAUACUGACGCUGAGGAGCGAAAGCGUGGGGAGCGAACAGGAUUAGAUACCCUGGUAGUCCACGCCGUAAACGGUGGGCACUAGGUGUGGGCAACAUUCCACGUUGUCCGUGCCGCAGCUAACGCAUUAAGUGCCCCGCCCUGGGAGAACGCCAA